rnacentral:misc_RNA from 1 species
UCCUGGUUUCCCAGGCAGUCUCAUCAGAGUGCUUUACUUAAAAGUAGCAACUGACGAUAGGAGUUGCGCUCGUUAGAGGACUUAACCGAACGUCUCACGACACGAGCUGACGACAGCCAUGCAGCACCUGUGCAAAAGUCUAGACCGAAGCCUAGAAGACUGUAUUUCUACAGCUGUCUUAUGCAUGUCAAACCUAGGUAAGGUUCCUCGCGUAGUGUCGAAUUAAACCACAUGUUCCACCGCUUGUGCGGACCCCCGUCAAUUCUUUUAAGUUUUAGUCUUGCGACCGUAAUCCCCAGGCGGAUCACUUAACGCGUUAGCUACGACACCAGCUCGGUAAAAACCAAGCUAACGUCUAGUGAUCAUCGUUUACGGCGUGGACUAC